AGAGCUCCCUCAGGUCCAGACGGACAGCUCCCAGGAAGGGACACCUUGUCUCCAGGAGGCUGCGGAACAAAGCACGGCAGUCCUGACAGACAGAAACGGGACCCCAAUCUUCCCACUGCCAUCCUUGGACCAAGAAUCGCAGGCAUCACAGUUCCCAAAAAGGGCUCUUUCCUGGCCCACGGGGCUCCAUACUGCAUGCAGGCCACCAGCUUCCUGCACACAGGCCAGGCUCCCGCAAGCUCUCUGGAGACCCACUCUUCACAGUGACCCCUGCGCACGGCGCCCUGCUGUCCCCCUACUGAUGCAGGGGAGGAAGCUGCAAGGAUGCAUUCCCUUUCCAUGGCCACAUGCCCGGACAGGCCUGGGCAGCCUGGCUCUUCUCGCGCUUGGCCACUUCAUGCCACUGCCGCCACCUCCAACUGCCCCGGCCCUGAGCUGAGCCACACCGCCCUGCUCCCUCAAGCCUGUGGUCAGCAUCACGCAUCAUACCUUCCCUCGGUCAAACUCUUCAUCCCAGUCAUCAACCACGGUCUCAGUCUGGGCCAGUCUGCUGUCUUCAAUAGCAUCCUGACUGACCGCCGACAUCUUGCCAUCCCAGGUCAGAACUACCGGGCAGACACAGGGCUCAGCAUGAGUGCAGGUUCCCAGGUACCCUGUGGCUUCACCUCAAGAGUCAUUUACCAACUAGUCUACCCAUAAUUAGUCACCAAUUUUGAGUGCCACCUCGUGGUGAACAGAAGGACAAGAGGAGGACGGCUCGACGUCCGAGUGUGGUCGGUCAGCACGGAACCCCCAACACCACCCUCUUAGCUAAACGCUAAACCAUGGCCACAGACUUCAGUUCUCUCUAAACCCAUGCCCUCGUCUGAGAAACAAAGAUGUCAUGUUUGGCCUCGAAGUCUGAAUAAAAACAUGCUCUGAGUAAGAAGUGACAUUA